AACAGUAAUGGUGACCUAUGCGAUCAUAGCAAAUCAACUUGGUAAAAAUGCAUUUGAACAUAAUGCAAUUUUGGAUGUGCAUGUCAGAGUCUUUCAGUGCCUACGCUUUUCCAUAUAUAGCUAUAUAUUGGAGGGCUUAAUAUAUAUGUAUGAUCAAUGUUUCUCGUGAAAAUUCAAGUCACAUUUUUUCCUUUCAUUUGCCAUGGC
rnacentral:lncRNA from 1 species